GUAAAGACUAAAUUUCUGUCCUGGAAAUAACAUUCCAACCAGAGUUGGACAAAGUGCAAAUGAUGUGGAGAAGAAUUUCAAGUUAUAGAUAAGUACACUUCAGAAAACAUUAAAAUAUGAAAUACAAACCACUUCCUUACUCCCCUCUGUCCCUGCAAUAUAUCUGGCUUGCCCAAAAAGCGCUUGCUCUCCGUCCCUGUGCGUUGCUGGGACACUGAGUUUUGAAUGUUUUUCCAGAUCUGGCCUGUGGCCUUGCGACAUUGCCAACAUGCUGCUACCAACUGCUUGAGCAUCUACUUGAGCAUCCGGACUUCAGUGGGCUGCAACGCUGCAUGCUCCUGCCUAUCACUUUCAUCAGGCUCUCUGGAUAAACACCGUUGCUGUGCUGGGUCGUUGCUCCAUUUCAGAGUUUGAGAAAGAGUUCCCUGCCUCCUCCUGUGCAAGGCUACAGAGUUGUGGCCGUGAAAGCCACGUUGCGGCGCUUUGAAAUGCUGCUAGAAUUUUGUAAAGCAGUUCAAGCCUGGAUCAGUUGCCUGAAUUUUUUCAUCUUACAGUUGCUUUUGUGUCAGCAUGUUUCUUCUACAACACCUCAAUGAAGAGUCAAACCUUUACCACUGCAAGACUACUGAAAUGAGAAAAUGGCAAAAUAGGAAGAAGGACUUCAGAAUUAAGAGCAUCUUCUGAAUUAUAAAUAGAUUGUACGUGCUAAGGCUUCUGAUACUGGCUCCCGUAAGAGAUGCUGCCUCCUCAUAGACACACCGAUGAAGUGCAGGCUAGUGGUUUACAAAAACUGACUGAGCAGUGUCCUGCUCCCUUGUCCAAAAGGCUCCAGCCCAGCAGGCUCUGUGAAGACCGGACGGCAACUAACAGCCCGUCUUUGUUUUGCAAGUACAAGGAAACUUUUCUAGGGCAGUUGUCUUGAACAUCUCUUUUUAGAAUCUGUUCAGCUAAGUUCAUAAGGGAAAGGGAAACUGUUCCUUUUCUGUUCCUUUUGUUAGGACUGUCGCUGCAAGAGCCUUAAAACUGGGAGAAAAGUGUUCUCUUCAGAGAUGAGCAACCUUCUGCUUUCCCUCCUGUCCCCG